rnacentral:lncRNA from 1 species
GCCGAUCUUCUCCCGUGCAGCCGCCAGCUCGACCUCGAGGGAGCUGAUCUUGGAAGCCUGAGUCCAAGAUCGAUCGCUGGCGUAUUUCUGGAGUUCCUAAAGCUCCUUCAUGAAGUUGGCCUUCUUCUGGGUGUAGUCCAUGAAGUCCAUUUUUGUGGAGGUCUCGAAGGCGAGUAACCUCCACAGUUGCCUCCGAAUGGCUCUUCCUCAGUCUGUGAAGUUCGUCG